AGUUAAUGAACUUGUAUAAGUAUAUAUUUUGAAAAUAUAAUAAAGAGUUAUUUCUCUAUUAACUU
rnacentral:tRNA from 1 species